GAUGAACGCUGGCGGCGUGCCUAAUACAUGCAAGUCGAGCGAACGGACGAGAAGCUUGCUUCUCUGAUGUUAGCGGCGGACGGGUGAGUAACACGUGGAUAACCUACCUAUAAGACUGGGAUAACUUCGGGAAACCGGAGCUAAUACCGGAUAAUAUUUUGAACCGCAUGGUUCAAAAGUGAAAGACGGUCUUGCUGUCACUUAUAGAUGGAUCCGCGCUGCAUUAGCUAGUUGGUAAGGUAACGGCUUACCAAGGCAACGAUGCAUAGCCGACCUGAGAGGGUGAUCGGCCACACUGGAACUGAGACACGGUCCAGACUCCUACGGGAGGCAGCAGUAGGGAAUCUUCCGCAAUGGGCGAAAGCCUGACGGAGCAACGCCGCGUGAGUGAUGAAGGUCUUCGGAUCGUAAAACUCUGUUAUUAGGGAAGAACAUAUGUGUAAGUAACUGUGCACAUCUUGACGGUACCUAAUCAGAAAGCCACGGCUAACUACGUGCCAGCAGCCGCGGUAAUACGUAGGUGGCAAGCGUUAUCCGGAAUUAUUGGGCGUAAAGCGCGCGUAGGCGGUUUUUUAAGUCUGAUGUGAAAGCCCACGGCUCAACCGUGGAGGGUCAUUGGAAACUGGAAAACUUGAGUGCAGAAGAGGAAAGUGGAAUUCCAUGUGUAGCGGUGAAAUGCGCAGAGAUAUGGAGGAACACCAGUGGCGAAGGCGACUUUCUGGUCUGUAACUGACGCUGAUGUGCGAAAGCGUGGGGAUCAAACAGGAUUAGAUACCCUGGUAGUCCACGCCGUAAACGAUGAGUGCUAAGUGUUAGGGGGUUUCCGCCCCUUAGUGCUGCAGCUAACGCAUUAAGCACUCCGCCUGGGGAGUACGACCGCAAGGUUGAAACUCAAAGGAAUUGACGGGGACCCGCACAAGCGGUGGAGUAUGUGGUUUAAUUCGAAGCAACGCGAAGAACCUUACCAAAUCUUGACAUCCUUUGACAACUCUAGAGAUAGAGCCUUCCCCUUCGGGGGACAAAGUGACAGGUGGUGCAUGGUUGUCGUCAGCUCGUGUCGUGAGAUGUUGGGUUAAGUCCCGCAACGAGCGCAACCCUUAAGCUUAGUUGCCAUCAUUAAGUUGGGCACUCUAAGUUGACUGCCGGUGACAAACCGGAGGAAGGUGGGGAUGACGUCAAAUCAUCAUGCCCCUUAUGAUUUGGGCUACACACGUGCUACAAUGGACAAUACAAAGGGCAGCGAAACCGCGAGGUCAAGCAAAUCCCAUAAAGUUGUUCUCAGUUCGGAUUGUAGUCUGCAACUCGACUACAUGAAGCUGGAAUCGCUAGUAAUCGUAGAUCAGCAUGCUACGGUGAAUACGUUCCCGGGUCU
rnacentral:rRNA from 1 species